CUCCACCUCCACCUCCACCUCCACCAUCAACAUCCUCAAAAUCCCCACCAUCCCCAUCCCAUCCUGCACCACAAUCGCGAUCACCUCCAGCACGAAAAUCACCACCACCUCGACGCGUAUCACCAACUCCACCACGUUCUAUAAGCAGUCCGCCGCCGUCACCUAGGCAUGCGUUCCGCGGCAGCUCCUCAAACGGGAGCAGGACGGGGCAGCAAUCACCGUCAUCAACAAUGCGAAAUGGUCAUGCGAUGAACACAGGGCAGAAGAUUGGGUUGUUUUUUGUGGGUAUUGCUGUGAUUUUGCAGAUUGGCGUUGUUGGGUUCUUGGUUUUCAAGAGAAGGCAGCUGUUGAGGAUCCAAGAUAGAUAUGAAACUUGCUCUUCUUGAAUUUCACCAUUGUCAUUGAUGGGUUAGAGGAUGUUUUAUUGGAAUUGAUAAUUUUUUUUUUCAAAUUCUUUGUUGGCAAAAGAUUGAUUUAUGGAUAUAAAUGGCAGAUCGUUGGGUAGCAAAUUUAGGGGUUGAUUCCCCUGUUCAAGUCCUUGAGGUAUUUCUGUAAAGUGGAAUUUGUUGAUUGGCGUUUUCCUAAUAAUCUUGCUAUUGAAUUUCAUUUUCUAAUGUAGUUUUAUCCGCACAGCUUAUAGUCUAGAGGAGUCGAGCCAUUUCUUUGUCAUGUCACAUAUUGUGCUAACAUACUUGUAAACAAUGUCUGGAAUCAUGGAAAUUGGAAGGAUUGCAAUGACAAUUUUUACAUCACAUUCUUU
rnacentral:misc_RNA from 1 species